CUUCAGGUAAAGUGAAAGAAAAGGUAGAGCGACCUUUCAAAGACCCACCUUAGGACAUUUUAAGGGCACCUAACGAAAGACGCCUUUAUCCGUAUGAGUGACUGUUAUGGGAGCGAAGCUAUGCACGUUUUUACGCUUGAAAUCAUCCAUUCAUGCGCGUAUAACUUAAUCCUACAACAAAAGGUUAAAUCAAGUGUGCAUUUAAGCUACUGAAAGCAAAUACCGCUAGUGUUAGACGGGCAUUUUGCGCGUUGCUAGCGUUGCUGACUCGCUGACUCUUGUUGGCUAAACUUUCUUUUUGGCUAAACACUAGCCGUCACAAUAACGCGUUUGCUAAAUUUCCCGUCGUUUCAUUUGUGUACGUUCAAUGCACGUGUGUGUGCUGGUGGUUGCACGGUACGUUUGCAUUCGUAAGCUAUAACAAAGUGAAGGGCGUUGUGUGCGGUCCCCUCGUUGAGCCCGGGCUCCCGCCUGUUUCCCUCCAUUCGGCUUGCGUCCUCAAGGGAAAGGGGGAUGUCGCAAGGCUGAAUUCCCGUAAUGUCCCCGUGUUACGUGUUGUGUGGCCGUGUUCUGGCCGUUCUCGCGGCCGUCAGUGACAGCGGUAGAGAAACGGACGGUCUGUGCGAACCGAAGUGAAUGCGCGUGAACGAUGUGCCUGUGUGGUGAAUAUUACCUCCUUCUGAAUGUGUUCUAAUUCAGCUUUAUGCUAAUAAAUGGGUAAGGUUUUCUCA